ensembl:processed_transcript Gm20616 predicted gene 20616
GGCAGUUGGGAAGAGAAGAACAUAAGGGGCAGAGAAGCAAAGGGGUGAUGUUGAAAAGCUGAGGCUCAGAGGGAGCUGGAGGAGGAAGACAAGGAACGCAGAGGCCUGAAAAGGGAGGAAGAAAUUGGAGGCAUCUGGCCAGCAGGCCUCCAGACUUGGAUGGGAACUAAACCACUUCUCCAUCCUGCUGCCUAUAAACUGUGUGACGUGUCAGCCUUCAGAAUCACAUGAGCCAAUUAACUCCUCAGCAUAAGAACCUUGAAUCUCAUUGGUUUGGUUUCCCCAGAGAUCCUGGAUGUAUCUGCUGCUAGGCAUAUGGAUAUGGAUAUCCUGAUAUGUGAUAUCAUCUACAGGGGCAGAAAGCCUCUACUGGUCUCAGGAGACAAGACCUUCAAGUUAAACAUGGUACCCUUGUUGGUUUUUUUCGGUUACUGCCAACCCUCAAAGCAAACAGUCUAAGAAGAGCUUUCUUUGUCAGAAAAGCUAUUCUUAGUAUCUCUUAGAAGGGCUCUGUGCUGAACAAUACCCAUGUAAUGAUCAUCCUCCCGGCAAGUAUCAAGGUCUCAUAAACAGGGUGGCUGGACACUAUUCUGGGAAUGAACAGGAUCUUCUGAACAGAGGAUCCCCAAGGCCCCCACUGCAGCUCACUCAACACGUUGGCCAUGGAGCAGGAUUGCUGAGACUCUGAGACCAGCCUGACCGAUCUAU